GGGCGUUAAGUUGCAGGGUAUAGACCCGAAACCCGGUGAUCUAGCCAUGGGCAGGUUGAAGGUUGGGUAACACUAACUGGAGGACCGAACCGACUAAUGUUGAAAAAUUAGCGGAUGACCUGUGGCUGGGGGUGAAAGGCCAAUCAAACCGGGAGAUAGCUGGUUCUCCCCGAAAGCUAUUUAGGUAGCGCCUCGUGAAUUCAUCUCCGGGGGUAGAGCACUGUUUCGGCUAGGGGGCCAUCCCGGCUUACCAACCCGAUGCAAACUGCGAAUACCGGAGAAUGUUAUCACGGGAGACACACGGCGGGUGCUAACGUCCGUCGUGAAGAGGGAAACAACCCAGACCGCCAGCUAAGGUCCCAAAGUCAUGGUUAAGUGGGAAACGAUGUGGGAAGGCCCAGACAGCCAGGAUGUUGGCUUAGAAGCAGCCAUCAUUUAAAGAAAGCGUAAUAGCUCACUGGUCGAGUCGGCCUGCGCGGAAGAUGUAACGGGGCUAAACCAUGCACCGAAGCUGCGGCAGCGACACUGUGUGUUGUUGGGUAGGGGAGCGUUCUGUAAGCCUGUGAAGGUGUGUCGUGAGGCAUGCUGGAGGUAUCAGAAGUGCGAAUGCUGACAUAAGUAACGAUAAAGCGGGUGAAAAGCCCGCUCGCCGGAAGACCAAGGGUUCCUGUCCAACGUUAAUCGGGGCAGGGUGAGUCGACCCCUAAGGCGAGGCCGAAAGGCGUAGUCGAUGGGAAACGGGUUAAUAUUCCCGUACUUGGUGUUACUGCGAAGGGGGGACGGAGAAGGCUAUGUUGGCCGGGCGACGGUUGUCCCGGUUUAAGCGUGUAGGUGUGUGUUCCAGGUAAAUCCGGUUCACUUUAACACUGAGGCGUGACGACGAGGCACUACGGUGCUGAAGCAACAAAUGCCCUGCUUCCAGGAAAAGCCUCUAAGCAUCAGGUAACAUCAAAUCGUACCCCAAACCGACACAGGUGGUCAGGUAGAGAAUACCAAGGCGCUUGAGAGAACUCGGGUGAAGGAACUAGGCAAAAUGGUGCCGUAACUUCGGGAGAAGGCACGCUGACACGUAGGUGAAGUGAUUUACUCAUGGAGCUGAAGUCAGUCGAAGAUACCAGCUGGCUGCAACUGUUUAUUAAAAACACAGCACUGUGCAAACACGAAAGUGGACGUAUACGGUGUGACGCCUGCCCGGUGCCGGAAGGUUAAUUGAUGGGGUCAGCGCAAGCGAAGCUCCUGAUCGAAGCCCCGGUAAACGGCGGCCGUAACUAUAACGGUCCUAAGGUAGCGAAAUUCCUUGUCGGGUAAGUUCCGACCUGCACGAAUGGCGUAAUGAUGGCCAGGCUGUCUCCACCCGAGACUCAGUGAAAUUGAACUCGCUGUGAAGAUGCAGUGUACCCGCGGCAAGACGGAAAGACCCCGUGAACCUUUACUAUAGCUUGACACUGAACAUUGAGCCUUGAUGUGUAGGAUAGGUGGGAGGCUUUGAAGUGUGGACGCCAGUCUGCAUGGAGCCGACCUUGAAAUACCACCCUUUAAUGUUUGAUGUUCUAACGUGGACCCGUUACCCGGGUUGCGGACAGUGUCUGGUGGGUAGUUUGACUGGGGCGGUCUCCUCCUAAAGAGUAACGGAGGAGCACGAAGGUUGGCUAAUCCUGGUCGGACAUCAGGAGGUUAGUGCAAUGGCAUAAGCCAGCUUGACUGCGAGCGUGACGGCGCGAGCAGGUGCGAAAGCAGGUCAUAGUGAUCCGGUGGUUCUGAAUGGAAGGGCCAUCGCUCAACGGAUAAAAGGUACUCCGGGGAUAACAGGCUGAUACCGCCCAAGAGUUCAUAUCGACGGCGGUGUUUGGCACCUCGAUGUCGGCUCAUCACAUCCUGGGGCUGAAGUAGGUCCCAAGGGUAUGGCUGUUCGCCAUUUAAAGUGGUACGCGAGCUGGGUUUAGAACGUCGUGAGACAGUUCGGUCCCUAUCUGCCGUGGGCGCUGGAGAACUGAGGGGGGCUGCUCCUAGUACGAGAGGACCGGAGUGGACGCAUCACUGGUGUUCGGGUUGUCAUGCCAAUGGCACUGCCCGGUAGCUAAAUGCGGAAGAGAUAAGUGCUGAAAGCAUCUAAGCACGAAACUUGCCCCGAGAUGAGUUCUCCCUGAGACUUAAAGUCUCCUGAAGGAACGUUGAAGACGACGACGUUGAUAGGCCGGGUGUGUAAGCGCAGCGAUGCGUUGAGCUAACCGGUACUAAUGAACCGUGAGGCUUAACCUUACAACGCCGAAG
rnacentral:rRNA from 3 species